rnacentral:rRNA from 1 species
UACGUAGGUGGCAAGCGUUGUCCGGAUUUACUGGGUGUAAAGGGCGUGUAGCCGGGCUGACAAGUCAGAUGUGAAAGCCCGGGGCCCAACCCCGGGACUGCUCUGGAAACUGUACGGCUAGAGUACGGGAGGGGCAGGCGGAAUUCCUAGUGUAGCGGUGAAAUGCGUAGAUAUUAGGAGGAACACCGGCGGCGAAGGCGGCCUGCUGGACCGAAACUGACGUUGAGGCUCGAAAGCGUGGGGAGCAAACAGG